CUAAUUUUAAGGAGAUCAAAAAGAUUUUUUUCCGUUGCCAUAGUAGCGUAAAACACAGGUGUGCAAUUCUCGGAACUGGCUGCUGCACGCCAGAUAUGUUAGAGGAGAACAUGCAAUGUGCUUGGAAUUAUCAGACGAAUUACAAAAUAAAAAUUAUAACAGGCAUAUCUAUGCGCAUUUCAUAAAGGGUUUAGUAUUAGCCGAGGCUGGUCGUCUGCAGGAAGCUUUGGAGCGAUUUCACAGCUGUAUCAAAUUAUAUUCACAAGAUCCUGAACCCCUUAAACAAGUAGCUAGAUGUUUAUAUCGUCAAGAUCGAUUCCAGUUAUCUUAUGAAGCUUAUCUCGAAGCUGACAAAUGUGCGAAACAUCCCGAUGCCGAAAUUUACUGUGGCUUAGCUGAAUGUUCGUGGAAGGUUGGGGAGGCGGUGCGUGGGGUGGAAUGGGCGAGGGCGGGGGUACAGGCCGGUGGAGGGGAGCGCGCGGGGGCGCUACUGGCGCGCCUGCUGCUCGCCUGCGAUCAACUGGAGCCAGCACUGCAGGCCUACGAUCAAACUAUAGCUGCGACCGCUUGCGGCGCGGACACGCUAGCAGCGGCGGGCGCGCUACGGUUGCGCGCCGGAGACCCACGCGGGGCCUUUCAGCUGCUGGGCGCGGCGCUAGCCCAGCGACCCGGCCAGCACGCAGCCGCUCUCGCCCUGGCCGCCAUGCUGCUCCAGCACGGGGACUCGUCCGCGGCGCUCGCUCGUCUCAAGGCAGCCCUCAACACACAUCCCACAUGCGUCGCUGCUCAUUCCAAUCUGGGCCUAGCUCUGAUCACUAGGAAGAAGUAUAUUGCGGGUCUGACGUGCCUGCAGCGGGCAGUGCAAUGGGCGCCACUGAGUGCGAGGGCAGCGCACAAUCUGGCGCUGGCCCUGCUCACCUGCCGCCGGCCCGCAUCCGCCUUUUGCCGACUGGCCAGCGCCACCGCACUGCAACCGGAACAUCCUCACACGGUUCUCCUCCUAGCUAUAGCGCUAGAACGGUUGGGUGACAGUCGUGCUGACGCGGCGUACGGGCGGGCGCUCAGUCUGGCGCCGCACGACGCCCUCGUCAGCGUCAACGUGGCCGCGAGACAUGGCAGGGCCGGCCGGCUGCAGCUCGCCCUCGAAGAAGCGAACAAUACAGUACAACUGCUGCAGGACGACAACAAAGCUGAUGCUCACCUUGCAAGUUCUUUAUCAGUUGUGAUGAAUCUACUCCAAGAAGCCGGGGCGCAGUCUGUUAUACCAGAUGGAGCUGAGCUUAACAGACCAGUAGACCGAAAAGACCGUGCUGAUGCUAUCAAUGAUAACUUCGCUCCUGAUGAAGUUUAAUCAAAUUGCUAAAUAUGAUUCUUUUGCAACUGGUGUUUGCGGUUUUCGUAAAUAUUAUGGAAUGUAAGGAGAGGAGAGCUGGUUUAGUGGUUCUACCGCCAUUAAUUAUAGGUUACGAUGAGUUUAACAUAGAGGAAACUGAAGAAGACGAGAUUACUAAUAUAAUGGAGAAUGCUGAAGAAGAUCUGAGUAAUUCGGAAGGUGUACCACCUGCACGCAGGAAAGUAUUCGAUGAAGACGAUUCGAAUAAGUUGUAUGCAAAUUAUAAUUCACACUACGGAAAAAUAAAUAGAAUGAAUUGAAAUCGUUAGCUUUUGUAACUUUAUAUUACUAAAAUCUAUUGGUUGAUAUCGUAGCUUUGAUAAAAUACAUUAUUCAGUAUAAUCUGUUACUAAUAUUUAUGUAUGCAAAAGUUUAGAUGUAUCAAUGGAUGGAACAGCUCAACGGACCUUUAUGAAUGCCACUAAUAUAGUCUGGACUAACAUAGUCUGGAAGAACACGAACUUAUUACAUUUUUUUAAUGUAAAUGCCGCCAUUUAAUUACCAUACUUCGAUACUAAACCGCUAUUUACUAAGACAACGCUAGUUAGGAACGUAUUGAAACAUAAUAAAACACAAACAUGAUAUCACAUCUUUAUUGUUAAAUUACAGUACUUAUUUUCCCUCUACCUCGUUCUUUUACAUGUUUGAUAUCCUUGCACACAUUGUAGCCUGUACCUGAUACCUUGAAUCGUAUCCUUAGUACG